rnacentral:lncRNA from 1 species
UAUAUGCUGGUAUACUAUCGGUAGCACGAAGGCCUCCGUGCUACCAAAUUAUUUUCAAUGAUGCGGCUUCCAAAUCGACGAUCGGCUCCGUUAAACUUGAUCUACACUAUUAAAAGUAGUUAGAUAUUAAAUUUCAUAAUUUUUCAAUAUCAUUUAACUAGUGAUCAAAAGAUCUCAAAAUUGGCAAUUUUAAUGAUAGAUGUGAUGCGUUUGUGAAUUUAACGGUGUAAAACAAUCCAAAUCUGAUAAAAUUUUUAUAGAAAAUUCUUUUCAGUAUUUAGAGUAAGAUCAGUACCUCUAAUCUUAAAUUCAAGUCAUGUAUCAUUAUGUUUUAUGAGAUUCUUAUUUUCAGCCGUUCAUUUUUAGGCUACUCGUUCAUUUUUUUAAUUCUGCUAUCCGCAUUCGAAUUCAUAUUCUAAAAAAAAAAAAAAAAGCGAAUAUGGUUUCAUCAAAUAUCUGACCGUAUUUGAUCGUUUUCAUCCCUAAAGCACACCAUAUAACUAAUUACAUAGAGUCCUGCUCUAAUUAGAUUUCGAAUUAAUCCCACUUUAAACUAUUAAUAUCUAAUAAUCAGAUAAAAUAAAAUAUUCUAAUUCUAAUCCAAUUAAUUAUUAUUAUUAUUAUAAAAUAAUAAUAA